ACGCUAGCGGCAGGCCUAACACAUGCAAGUCGAGGGGUAGCAUUUGUGCUUGCACAAGAUGACGACCGGCGCACGGGUGCGGAACGCGUAUGGAACCUGCCCUUGUCAGGGGAAUAGCCCAGAGAAAUUUGGAUUAAUGCCCCAUGGUACCAUUCGGACACAUGUCCUUAUGGUUAAAGAUUUAUCGGACAAGGAUGGCCAUGCGUACCAUUAGUUAGUUGGUGAGGUAACGGCUCACCAAGGCAGCGAUGGUUAGGGGCCCUGAGAGGGGGAUCCCCCACACUGGUACUGAGACACGGACCAGACUCCUACGGGAGGCAGCAGUGAGGAAUAUUGGACAAUGGUCGGGAGACUGAUCCAGCCAUGCCGCGUGCAGGAUGACUGCCCUAUGGGUUGUAAACUGCUUUUAUACGGGAAGAAACGCACCUACGUGUAGGUGUCUGACGGUACCGUAAGAAUAAGGACCGGCUAACUCCGUGCCAGCAGCCGCGGUAAUACGGAGGGUCCGAGCGUUAUCCGGAAUCAUUGGGUUUAAAGGGUCCGUAGGCGGGCCAUUAAGUCAGGGGUGAAAGUCUGCAGCUCAACUGUAGAAUUGCCUUUGAUACUGGUGGUCUUGAGUCGUUGUGAAGUGGCCGGAACAUGUGGUGUAGCGGUGAAAUGCAUAGAUAUCACAUAGAACACCGAUUGCGAAGGCAGGUCACUAACAACGUACUGACGCUGAUGGACGAAAGCGUGGGUAGCGAACGGGAUUAGAUACCCCGGUAGUCCACGCCGUAAACGAUGGAUACUAGCUGUCGGGACUUCGGUCUCGGCGGCCAAGCGAAAGUGAUAAGUAUCCCACCUGGGGAGUACGUUCGCAAGAAUGAAACUCAAAGGAAUUGACGGGGGCCCGCACAAGCGGUGGAGCAUGUGGUUUAAUUCGAUGAUACGCGAGGAACCUUACCAGGGCUUAAAUGUAGUAUGACAGGACUAGAGAUAGUUUUUCUUCGGACAUAUUACAAGGUGCUGCAUG
rnacentral:rRNA from 1 species